rnacentral:rRNA from 1 species
ACCCGCUGAAACNUAAGCAUAUAACUAAGCGGAGGAAAAGAAACUAACAAGGAUUCCCCCAGUAACGGCGAGUGAAGCGGGAAGAGCUCACGUUGUGAAUCUGGCCCUCGGGCCCGAACUGUACACUGGAGAGGCGAGGCCAGCCGCUGUCCGCGGCCAAGUCUGAUUGGAAAUGAGCAUCAAGGAGGGUGACAAUCCCGUCCAUGCCGCGGUAUCGAUCAGCGCGCGUCCGGCCCGCUUUCGACGAGUCGAGUUGCUUGGGAUUGCAGCUCAAAGAGGGUGGUAAACUCCAUCCAAAGCUAAACACGGGGGGGAGACCGAUAGCGAACAAGUACCGUGAGGGAAAGAUGCAAAGAACUUUGAAAAGAGAGUUAAAGAGUGCCUGAAAUUGCUGGAAGGGAAGCGAAGGAAAGAGGUGUGCGGUUGCCCGGGCGCCAACCCCUACCUGUCCGCAGGUGGGGGUAGGCCGCCCGGCCGCAGUCAGGGGUAGCGCCGGGCUCGGGGGAAGAGCCGUCGGGGAUCGGUAGGCGUGCCGCUUCGGUGGAGCGUUGUCAGGCCCCGGUGGUUAUUGCCCUGAGCCCGGCCCCCUUCUGGCGGUCGCGGCUUUUCUUCACCCCGUCUUGAAACACGGACCAAGGAGUCUAGCGUGGACGCGAGUAGAGGGGUGUCCAAACCCCCCUGCGCAAUGAAGGUGAACGCCGGUGGGAGGCAGCACUCGUUGUUGCCAGCACCAUCGACCGAGCGUGCUCCUCCGGGGGCAAGGCUUGAGUGUGAGCGUGCAUGCUGGGACCCGAAAGAUGGUGAACUAUGCCUGAAUAGGGCGAAGCCAGGGGAAACUCUGGUGGAGGCUCGUAGCGAUUCUGACGUGCAAAUCGAUCGUGAGAUUUGGGUAUAGGGGCGAAAGACUAAUCGAACCAUCUAGUAGCUGGUUCCCUCCGAAAUUUCCCUCAGGAUAGCAGCGGCCGAGUUUGACAGUUUUAUCAGGUAAAGCGAAUGAUUAGAGGCUGCGGGGGAGUAACUCCCUCGCCCUAUUCUCAAACUUUAAAUGGGUAAGGAGCUGGGGUCGCUUGGUUGGACCCUCGGCAUUGGAAUGGCUGGUCGUUAGUGGGCCAGUCCGGGUAAGCUGGACUGGCGAUGCGGGAUGAACCGAACGCCUAGAUGAAGCGCCUCACUGCCCGCUCACCUAGAUCCCACAAAAGGUGUUGGUUCAUUCAGACAGCAGGACGGUGGCCAUG